rnacentral:ncRNA from 1 species
UGCAAGACGGUUGCUGAGCUUGUCGAAGCAUGAAUCUUGCGUCGUUCUUAGUUAAAAUCACUUAUGGUUCGACAAGUUCACCGAUCGUGAUUUCAGGUUGAGGGACUAAAAAACGCCGUCAAUUCUGACCGCACUUUUCACAUAAAUAAAAAGCCGAAUAACAUAUUCGGCUUUUCGUU